GGUGAUCCUGUGAGUCCACACCUCUCAGAUAGAUUGUGGAGUCAGCAGAUCUCUCUCCACACCACAGUCCUCUGUCCACCAUUCCCUGCUAAAGGCACUCAGGGUAUUUGUCACAUAAAAGAGUUCUGUGGGAUAACCACAAUUAAUGUUUUGGCUACGCUUGGGUGACGCUGCCCUUCUGGUGCUGAUGGCGGCAUUGGGUGGGGCCUCUGUCCUCCUUCCUGGCAGAAGAGAAUCCUGGUAGCUCCACCCUUCUGGGAGGUGCCCCAUCUGUCCUGACAGUAGGGGGAGCCAAAGCGCCAGAACUGGAGCUAAGUUGCAGUGGACACUGCAGGAACAAGACUUCCCCACACUGCACCCCUCUCCUGCCUGAUGUCUGUCACCCAUCCUGCCCGGGGAAGGACAGUAGGAAUUGCACAGUCUUCAGAUGCCCUUUCAUUCUUGCUUUUCCCCUCACCUAUAGCCUGGCUUCUUGGCAGCCAGACAGAAAGAUGGGCCAGUUUGAAUUAACAGUGAAUAAAUUCUGUGGCCAAAA